rnacentral:rRNA from 1 species
CCUACGGGAGGCAGCAGUGAGGAAUAUUGGUCAAUGGACGAGAGUCUGAACCAGCCAAGUAGCGUGAAGGAUGACUGCCCUAUGGGUUGUAAACUUCUUUUAUAUGGGAAUAAAACGUUCCACGUGUGGGAUUUUGUAUGUACCAUAUGAAUAAGAAUCGGCUAACUCCGUGCCAGCAGCCGCGGUAAUACGGAGGAUCCGAGGGUUAUCCGGAUUUAUUGGGGUUAAAGGGAGCGUAGGUGGAUUGGUAAGUCAGUUGUGAAAGUUUGCGGCUCAACCGUAAAAUUGCAGUUGAAACUGGCAGUCUUGAGUGCAGUAGAGGUGGGCGGAAUGCGUGGUGUAGCGGUGAAAUGCUUAGAUAUCACGAAGAACUCCGAUUGCGAAGGCAGUUCACUGGACUGCAACUGACACUGAGGCUCGAAAGUGUGGGUAUCAAACAGGAUUAGAUACCCUAGUAGUC